rfam:Eubacterium saphenum ATCC 49989 genomic scaffold Scfld0, whole genome shotgun sequence.
AAGGUAAGCCGGAUAAUCGCAUGCUUUAGCAUGAGGAAAGUCCGGGCUUCACAGAGCAGGAUGCCAGAUAACGUCUGGCGUGGGUAACCAUAGGGAAAGUGCAACAGAAAAUAUUCCGCCGAAACAGUAAGGCUGUGGUAAGGUUGAAAUGGCGAGGUAAGAGCUCACCGGCAAUAUAGUAAUAUAUUGGCCUUGUAAACCCCAUCUGAAGCAAGAUCAAAAUGGGCAGUAAGAAUAGUUGCUCGCUAUUCGCCCGGUGUGGUGGAUCGCAUGAACACAUCAGCGAUGGUGUGUCUAGAUAGAUGAUUAUCAAAUACAGAACCCGGCUUAUGGCUUGCCUUUUAU